UACAGAGGUCUCAAGCGUUGUUCGGAUUCAUUGGGCGUAAAGGGUGUGUAGGUGGCGCCGUAAGUCGGGUGUGAAAUUUCGGAGCUUAACUCCGAAACUGCAUUCGAUACUGCGGUGCUUGAGGACUGGAGAGGAGACUGGAAUUCAUGGUGUAGCAGUGAAAUGCGCAGAUAUCAGGAAGAACACCCGUGGCGAAGGCGGCUCUCUGGGACGGUACUGACGCUGAGACGCGAAAGCGUGGGGAGCGAACAGG
rnacentral:rRNA from 1 species